rnacentral:rRNA from 1 species
AGAGUUUGAUCCCUGGGCUCAGGAUGAACGCUAGCGGCAGGCUUAACACAUGCAAGUCGAGGGGUUCGGGAGGGAAGCUUGCUUUCCUUGCCGGCGACCCGGCGCACGGGUGAGUAACACGUAUGCAACCUGCCCUCUUCAGGGGGACAACCUUCCGAAAGGGAGGCUAAUCCCGCGUAUAUCGGUUUCGGGCAUCCGAGAUCGAGGAAAGAUUCAUCGGAAGAGGAUGGGCAUGCGGCGCAUUAGCUUGACGGCGGGGUAACGGCCCACCGUGGCGACGAUGCGUAGGGGUUCUGAGAGGAAGGUCCCCCACACUGGUACUGAGACACGGACCAGACUCCUACGGGAGGCAGCAGUGAGGAAUAUUGGUCAAUGGGAGAGAUCCUGAACCAGCCAAGCCGCGUGAGGGAAGACGGCCCUAUGGGUUGUAAACCUCUUUUGUCGGAGAACAAAACCCGGGACGAGUCCCGGACUGCGUGUAUCCGAAGAAAAAGCAUCGGCUAACUCCGUGCCAGCAGCCGCGGUAAUACGGAGGAUGCGAGCGUUAUCCGGAUUUAUUGGGUUUAAAGGGUGCGUAGGCGGUCCGUUAAGUCAGCGGUAAAAUUGCGGGGCUCAACCCCGUCGAGCCGUUGAAACUGGCAGACUUGAGUUGGCGAGAAGUACGCGGAAUGCGCGGUGUAGCGGUGAAAUGCAUAGAUAUCGCGCAGAACUCCGAUUGCGAAGGCAGCGUACCGGCGCCAGACUGACGCUGAGGCACGAAAGCGUGGGGAUCGAACAGGAUUAGAUACCCUGGUAGUCCACGCAGUAAACGAUGAAUGCUGGUUGUCCGGGUCGAAUGAGACCUGGGCGGCGAAGCGAAAGCGAUAAGCAUUCCACCUGGGGAGUACGCCGGCAACGGUGAAACUCAAAGGAAUUGACGGGGGCCCGCACAAGCGGAGGAACAUGUGGUUUAAUUCGAUGAUACGCGAGGAACCUUACCCGGGCUCAAACGGGAGUGGAAUGGACCAGAGACGGUUCAGCCUACGGGCCGCUUCCGAGGUGCUGCAUGGUUGUCGUCAGCUCGUGCCGUGAGGUGUCGGCUUAAGUGCCAUAACGAGCGCAACCCCCCGCCGGCAGUUGCUAACGGGCAAUGCCGAGGACUCUGCCGGGACUGCCGCCGCAAGGCGUGAGGAAGGCGGGGAUGACGUCAAAUCAGCACGGCCCUUACGUCCGGGGCGACACACGUGUUACAAUGGGCGGUACAGCGGGAAGCCAGGCGGCGACGCCGAGCGGAACCCGAAAGCCGUUCUCAGUUCGGAUCGGAGUCUGCAACCCGACUCCGUGAAGCUGGAUUCGCUAGUAAUCGCGCAUCAGCCAUGGCGCGGUGAAUACGUUCCCGGGCCUUGUACACACCGCCCGUCAAGCCAUGGGAGCCGGGGGUGCUUGAAGUGCGUCGCCGCGAGACGCGCCCUAGAGCAAAACCGGUGACUGGGG